rnacentral:rRNA from 1 species
UAGGGAAUCUUCCGCAAUGGACGAAAGUCUGACGGAGCAACGCCGCGUGAGUGAAGAAGGAUUUCGGUUCGUAAAACUCUGUUGUUAGGGAAGAAAAAAUGUAUAGUAACUAUAUACAAAAGAGACGGUACCUAACCAGAAAGCCACGGCUAACUACGUGCCAGCAGCCGCGGUAAUACGUAGGUGGCAAGCGUUGUCCGGAAUUAUUGGGCGUAAAGCGCGCGCAGGUGGUUUAGAAAGUCUGAUGUGAAAGCCCACGGCUCAACCGUAGAAGGUCAGAGGAAACUAAUAAACGUGACUGCAGGAGAGAGAAGUGGAAAUCCUAGUGGAGCGGUGAAAGGCGGAGAGAGUAGGAAGAACUCCGAUGUCGAGUGCGGCUUGAGGACCUGAAACUAGCACAGAGGCGCGAAAGCGUAGGGAGCAAACAGG